rnacentral:rRNA from 1 species
UCCUACGGGAGGCAGCAGUGGGGAAUUUUGGACAAUGGGCGCAAGCCUGAUCCAGCAAUGCCGCGUGAGUGAAGAAGGCCUUCGGGUUGUAAAGCUCUUUUGUCAGGGAAGAAACGUACCUUUCUAAUACAGAGCCCUAAUGACGGUACCUGAAGAAUAAGCACCGGCUAACUACGUGCCAGCAGCCGCGGUAAUACGUAGGGUGCAAGCGUUAAUCGGAAUUACUGGGCGUAAAGCGUGCGCAGGCGGUUUGGUAAGUCUGUUGUGAAAUCCCCGGGCUCAACCUGGGAAUUGCGAUGGAAACUGCAAGGCUAGAGUUUGGCAGAGGAGAGUAGAAUUCCACGUGUAGCAGUGAAAUGCGUAGAUAUGUGGAGGAACACCGAUGGCGAAGGCAGCCCCCUGGGUCAAAACUGACGCUCAUGCACGAAAGCGUGGGA